rnacentral:rRNA from 1 species
GUGCAGUUAAAAAGCUCGUAGUUGAAUUUCUGCGUCACCGUAUUUUGACUUUUGUCGACUGUCGGUUUCGCUUUUGGGAUUUAUCCCUUUUUACUUUGAGAAAAUUAGAGUGUUUCAAGCAGACUUUUGUCUUGAAUACUUCAGCAUGGAAUAAUAGAGUAGGACUUUGGUUCUAUUUUGUUGGUUUGUGAACCUUAGUAAUGGUUAAUAGGAACGGUUGGGGGCAUUCGUAUUUAACUGUCAGAGGUGAAAUUCUUAGAUUUGUUAAAGACGAACUACUGCGAAAGCAUUUGCCAAGGACGUUUUCAUUAAUCAAGAACGAAAGUUAGGGGAUCGAAGACGAUCAGAUACCGUCGU